AAGGUUAAUUGAUGAUGUUAGCUAUGCGAAGCAUUUGAUCGAAGCCCGAGUAAACGGCGGCCGUAACUAUAACGGUCCUAAGGUAGCGAAAUUCCUUGUCGGUUAAAUACCGACCUGCAUGAAUGGCGUAACGAGAUGGGAGCUGUCUCAAAGAGGGAUCCAGUGAAAUUGUAGUGGAGGUGAAAAUUCCUCCUACCCGCGGCAAGACGGAAAGACCCCGUGGACCUUUACUACAGCUUGACACUGCUACUUGGAUAAAGAUGCGCAGGAUAGGUGGGAGGCUUUGAUCCAUAGACCCUGGUUUAUGGUGAGCCAUUGUUGAGAUACCACUCUUCUUUAUUCGGGUAGCUAACUAGCCUAAGUUAUCCUUAGGUAGGACAAUGUCUGGUGGGUAGUUUGACUGGGGCGGUCGCCUCCCAAAAUGUAACGGAG
rnacentral:rRNA from 1 species